AUUGAACGCUGGCGGCAGGCCUAACACAUGCAAGUCGAACGCGUGGCGGACGGGUGAGUAAUGUCUGGGAAACCCCCUGAUGGCGGGGGAUCACUUCUGGAAACGGUAGCUAAUACCGCAUAGCCUGAUGUGUGCCCAUAUGGGAUUUGCUAGUUGGUGGGGUAAGGGCUCACCAAGGCGACGAUCCCUAGCUGGUCUGAGAGGAUGACCAGCCACACUGGGACUGAGACACGGUCCAGACGCCUACGGGAGGCAGCAGUGGGGAAUAUUGCACAAUGGGCGCAAGCCUGAUGCAGCCAUGCCGCGUGUAUGAAGAAGGCCUUCGGGUUGUAAAGUACUUUCAGUGGGGAGGCGUUACCCACAGAAGAAGCACCGGCUAACUCCGUGCCAGCAGCCGCGGUAAUAC
rnacentral:rRNA from 1 species